rnacentral:rRNA from 1 species
GACGGAGGAUGCAAGCGUUAUCCGGAAUGAUUGGGCGUAAAGCGUCCGCAGGUGGCAGUUCAAGUCUGCUGUCAAAGACCGGGGCUUAACUUCGGAAAGGCAGUGGAAACUGAACAGCUAGAGUAUGGUAGGGGCAGAGGGAAUUCCUGGUGUAGCGGUGAAAUGCGUAGAGAUCAGGAAGAACAUCGGUGGCGAAGGCGGGUCUCUGGGCAGUAACUGACGCUGAGGAGCGAAAGCGUGGGGAGCGAACAGG